GUCCCUGAAGCGCAACGGAUAGCGCAUUGGACUUCUUGUCCAAAGGUCGCGGGUUCGAAUCCCACUUGGGAUG
rnacentral:tRNA from 1 species